AACGAACGCUGGCGGCAUGCCUAACACAUGCAAGUCGAACGAGACCUUCGGGUCUAGUGGCGCACGGGUGCGUAACGCGUGGGAACCUGCCUUUAGGUUCGGAAUAACUCAGAGAAAUUUGAGCUAUUACCGGAUGAUGUCUUCGGACCAAAGAUUUAUCGCCUUUAGAUGGGCCCGCGUUGGAUUAGCUAGUUGGUGGGGUAAAGGCCUACCAAGGCGACGAUCCAUAGCUGGUCUGAGAGGAUGAUCAGCCACACUGGGACUGAGACACGGCCCAGACUCCUACGGGAGGCAGCAGUGGGGAAUAUUGGACAAUGGGCGAAAGCCUGAUCCAGCAAUGCCGCGUGAGUGAUGAAGGCCUUAGGGUUGUAAAGCUCUUUUACCCGAGAUGAUAAUGACAGUAGCGGGAGAAUAAGCUCCGGCUAACUCCGUG
rnacentral:rRNA from 1 species